CAGUCGCCACGGGAAUACGUAGGGUGCGGGCGUUAAUCGGAUUUACUGGGCGUAAAGCGUGCGCAGGCGGCCCGUUAAGACAGGUGUGAAAUCCCUGGGCUCAACCUAGGAAUUGCGCUUGUGACUGGCGGGCUCGAGUACGGUAGAGGGGGGUGGAAUUCCUGGUGUAGCAGUGAAAUGCGUAGAGAUCAGGAGGAACACCGAUGGCGAAGGCAGCCCCCUGGGCCUGUACUGACGCUGAGGAGCGAAAGCGUGGGGAGCGAACAGGAUUAGAUACCCCUGUAGUCCCUGUCUCUUAUAC
rnacentral:rRNA from 1 species